rnacentral:sRNA from 1 species
CAGCAGCCCGACCUGAGUGGAGCUCUUUUUCUUUUUUUGCAAAAAAAGAAAAAAGCGGGAACGGAGGGCGGAUUAAGC